rnacentral:rRNA from 1 species
GCUCAGAUGAACGCUGGCGGCAGGCCUAACACAUGCAAGUCGAGCGGUAGCACAGAGAGCUUGCUCUCGGGUGACGAGCGGCGGACGGGUGAGUAAUGUCUGGGAAACUGCCUGAUGGAGGGGGAUAACUACUGGAAACGGUAGCUAAUACCGCAUAACGUCGCAAGACCAAAGUGGGGGACCUUCGGGCCUCAUGCCAUCAGAUGUGCCCAGAUGGGAUUAGCUAGUAGGUGGGGUAACGGCUCACCUAGGCGACGAUCCCUAGCUGGUCUGAGAGGAUGACCAGCCACACUGGAACUGAGACACGGUCCAGACUCCUACGGGAGGCAGCAGUGGGGAAUAUUGCACAAUGGGCGCAAGCCUGAUGCAGCCAUGCCGCGUGUGUGAAGAAGGCCUUCGGGUUGUAAAGCACUUUCAGCGGGGAGGAAGGCGGUGAGGUUAAUAACCUCAUCGAUGACGUACCCGCAGAAGAAGCACCG